CCUACGGUGGGCAGCAGUGAGGAAUAUUGGUCAAUGGGCGUAAGCCUGAACCAGCCACGUCGCGUGAGGGAUGAAGGUUCUAUGUAUCGUAAACCUCUUUUAUAAGGGAAUAAAGUGUGGGACGUGUCCUAUUUUGUAUGUACCUUAUGAAUAAGGAUCGACUAACUCCGUGCCAGCAGCCGCGGUAAUACGGAGGAUCCGCGCGUUAUCCGGAUUUAUUGGGUUUAAAGGGUGCGUAGGCGGCCUUGUAAGUCAGCGGUGAAAGUCUGUGGCUCAACCAUAGAAUUGCCGUUGAAACUGGGGGGCUUGAGAAUGGUAGAGGCAGGCGGAAUGCGUGGUGUAGCGGUGAAAUGCUUAGAUAUCACGCAGAACCCCGAUUGCGAAGGCAGCCUACCAAGCCAUGACUGACGCUGAUGCACGAAAGCGUGGGGAUCAAACAGGAUUAGAUACCCCAGUAGUC
rnacentral:rRNA from 1 species